GCGUUUGUGGUGUAAUGGUUAGCAUGGGUGCCUUCCAAGCAUUCGACGGGGGUUCGAUUACCCCAAACGCA
rnacentral:tRNA from 1 species